rnacentral:rRNA from 1 species
UACAUGGGGUGCAAACGUUGCUCGGAAUUAUUGGGCGUAAAGCGCGCGUAGGCGGUUACUCAAGUCGGAUGUGAAAGCCCUCGGCUUAACUGAGGAAGUGCACCCGAAACUGAGUAGCUAGAGUACUAAAGAGGGUCGCGGAAUUCCCGGUGUAGAGGUGAAAUUCGUAGAUAUCGGGAAGAACACCGGUGGCGAAGGCGGCGACCUGGUCCAUUACUGACGCUGAGGCGCGACAGCGUGGGGAGCAAACAGG